rnacentral:SRP_RNA from 1 species
GCAGGGUGUGCUGGAGCCUGCCUGUAGUCUUAGCCCUGGGAAAGGCUGAAGCAGGAGGAUUGCUUGAGCCCAGGAGUUCUGGGCUGUCCUGCACUAUGCGGAGAUGUGGAUACUAAGUAUAGCGUCAAUAUGGCAACCUCCCAACAUGGUGACCCAAUUGCCUAAGGAGGGGCUCAGCCCAGGUUAGAAACAAAACAAGUCAAAACUCCCAUGCUGAUUAGUAGUGGGAUCGAACCUGUGAAUAGCCACUGCACUCCAACCUGGGCAACCAAGCCAGAACCCACCUCC